rnacentral:rRNA from 1 species
AUUGAACGCUGGCGGCAUGCCUUACACAUGCAAGUCGAACGGCAGCGGGGACUUCGGUCCGCCGGCGAGUGGCGAACGGGUGAGUAAUGUAUCGGAACGUACCAUUGAGUGGGGGAUAACUAUCCGAAAGGAUAGCUAAUACCGCAUAUUCUCUCCGGAGGAAAGCAGGGGACCGCAAGGCCUUGCGCUCAUUGAGCGGCCGAUAUCAGAUUAGCUAGUUGGUGAGGUAAAGGCUCACCAAGGCGACGAUCUGUAGCGGGUCUGAGAGGAUGGUCCGCCACACUGGAACUGAGACACGGUCCAGACUCCUACGGGAGGUAGCAGUGGGGAAUUUUGGACAAUGGGGGCAACCCUGAUCCAGCCAUGCCGCGUGAGUGAAGAAGGCCUUCGGGUUGUAAAGCUCUUUCGGCCGGGAAAAAAUCGCAUGGGUUAAUACCCUGUGUGGAUGAUGGUACCGGAAUAAGAAGCACCGGCUAACUACGUGCCAGCCGCCGCCGUAAAAC